rnacentral:rRNA from 1 species
GCACAGAGUUAGCCGGUGCUUAUUCUUGGGGUACAGUCAAACACUUGCGUGCUUUCUUCCCCCACAAAAGUGCUUUACAACCCGAAGGCCUUCUUCACACACGCGGCAUUGCUGGAUCAGGCUUUCGCCCAUUGUCCAAUAUUCCCCA